rnacentral:rRNA from 1 species
GACGAACGCUGGCGGCGUGCUUAACACAUGCAAGUCGAGCGGUAAGGCCCUUUUGGGGGUACACGAGCGGCGAACGGGUGAGUAACACGUGGGUGACCUGCCCUCAGCUCUGGGAUAAGCCUGGGAAACUGGGUCUAAUACUGGAUAUGACCUUUCCUCGCAUGGGGUUGGGUGGAAAGUUUUUCGGCUGGGGAUGGGCCCGCGGCCUAUCAGCUUGUUGGCGGGGUGAUGGCCUACCAAGGCGACGACGGGUAGCCGGCCUGAGAGGGCGACCGGCCACACUGGGACUGAGACACGGCCCAGACUCCUACGGGAGGCAGCAGUGGGGAGUAUUGCGCAAUGGGCGGAAGCCUGACGCAGCGACGCCGCGUGGGGA